GUGCCAGCAGCCGCGGUAAGACGAACCGUGCGAACGUUGUUCGGAAUCACUGGGCUUAAAGGGUGCGUAGGCGGGCUCGUCAGUCGGGGGUGAAAUCCCACGGCCCAACCGUGGAAGUGCCUCCGAUACUGCGGACCUAGAGGGGGAUAGGGGCGUGCGGAACUUCCGGUGGAGCGGUGAAAUGCGUUGAUAUCCGGCGGAACUCCGGUGGCGAAAGCGGCGCGCUGGGCCCCUUCUGACGCUGAGGCGCGGAAGCCAGGGGAGCGAACGGGAUUAGAUACCCUGGUAGUCC
rnacentral:rRNA from 1 species